rnacentral:rRNA from 1 species
AACGAACGCUGGCGGCAUGCCUAACACAUGCAAGUCGAACGAAGGCUUCGGCCUUAGGGGCGCACGGGUGCGUAACGCGUGGGAAUCUACACUUUGGUUCGGAAUAACAGAUGGAAACGGCAGCUAAUACAAGUUGAUCACGAAAGUCAAAAGAUUUCUCGCCAUAGGAUGGGGCCGCGUUGGAUUAGGCAGUUGGUGGUGUACAGGCAUACCAAGACGACGAUCCAUAGCUGGUCUGAGAGGAUGAUCAGCAGCAAUGGGACUGAGACACGGCCCAGACCGCGACGGAGGGGAGCAGUAGGGUGUAUUGUGCGCUGAGCGCAAGUGUAGUCCAGCAGCGCGGCGUAUGUGAGCAUGCGGGUAGGAUUGUAAAUCUGUCUUUCACGGGAAGAGAAUGACGGUACUGGGAAAAGAAGCCCCGGCUAACUCCGUG